CAGAGCCGCCCGAUCUCACAUUGGCUGCAGCCCCCAUGGCCUGAUGGCAACGAGACCCCCCUGGCACCAAGACCUGGGGGCACCAGGACCUGAUGGCACCGGGACCCCCAGGUCACCACAGACCCUAAUGGCACUGGGACCUGGUGGCACUGGGACCUGGUGGCACCGGGACCUGAUGGCACCGGGACCUCCCAGCACCGGGACCCCCAUGGGACCACAGACCCCAUGGCACCAGGAUCCCCAGGUCACCACAGCCCCCAUGGCACUGGGACUCGAUGGCACUGGGACUUGGUGGCACUGGGACCUGAUGGCACCAGGACCCCCAUGUCACCGGGACCCCCAGGUCACCACAGCCCCCAUGGCACUGGGACCUGGUGGCACCAGGACCCCCAUGAGACCACAGACCCCAUGGCACCAGGACCCCCGUGGCACCAGGACCCCCAUGGCACCACAGCCCCCAUGGCACUGGGACCUGGUGGCACCUGGACCCCCAUGGGACCACAGCCCCCAUGGCACCAGGACCCCCAUGUCACUACAGACCCCAUGGCACCAGGACCCCCAUGUCACUGGGACCCCCAUGGCAUGGAGACCCCCAUGGCACUGGGACCCCCCAUAUGCCCCCCCUGGCCGCAGACCUGUCCUUGUGCCCCAGGCUGCACAGCCCCACGGCCAGCCCCACACUGAGCCCCACGUCUCCCCCAGCCCG
rnacentral:lncRNA from 1 species